rnacentral:rRNA from 1 species
GAUGAACGCUGGCGGCGUGCCUAAUACAUGCAAGUCGAGCGAAUGGAUUAAGAGCUUGCUCUUAUGAAGUUAGCGGCGGACGGGUGAGUAACACGUGGGUAACCUGCCCAUAAGACUGGGAUAACUCCGGGAAACCGGGGCUAAUACCGGAUAACAUUUUGAACCGCAUGGUUCGAAAUUGAAAGGCGGCUUCGGCUGUCACUUAUGGAUGGACCCGCGUCGCAUUAGCUAGUUGGUGAGGUAACGGCUCACCAAGGCAACGAUGCGUAGCCGACAUGAGAGGGUGAUCGGCCACACUGGGACAGAGACACGGCCCAGACUCCUACGGGAGGCAGCAGUAGGGAAUCUUCCGCAAUGGACGGAAGUCUGACGGAGCAACGCCGAGUGAGUGAUGAAGGCUUUCGGGUCGUAAAACUCUGUUGUUAGGGAAGAACAAGUGCUGGUUGAUUAAGCUGGCACCUGGACGGUACCUAAACAGAAAGCCACGGCUAACUACGUGCCAGCAGCCGCCGUAA